AUCCAGCUGACGAAUCCCAAAUAAGACGAAACGCACGUCAAACUGGAU
rnacentral:hammerhead_ribozyme from 1 species